rnacentral:rRNA from 1 species
UUCCAGCUCCAAGAGCAUAUAUUAAAGUUGCUGCAGUUAAAACGCCCGUAGCCUAAGCCACGCCGGGUCCAGUUGGUCUACCCCUUCCAAGGGGAUGUGCACUUGUUGGGCUCGGUGUGACUAUUGAUUGUCGGGGCCCUUGGACUUAGUUGUCUAGGGUAAACCCUUACAGUCCUUUUAUUGUGAAUAAAUCAAACUGCCCAAAGGAGACCGUAGGUCCUGAAUGAUUAAGCAUGAGAUAAUAUAACAAGAAUGGAGUGCAGUCCCAUCCUGUGCUCUGUUAAUGACGAAUAGGGAGUGGUGGGGAUAUCCUUAUUUUGUGAGAAGAGGUGAAAUUCUAUGAUUCAUGAAAGAAGAACAAAAGCACAAGCAGUUAUCCAAAAACUCCCCAUUGGUCAAGGACGAAAGUUUGGGGAUCGAAGACG